CCCAUCUUACUUGUAUUCAUUCAAUUAUUACAAAGUAUUAAUAUAAUUAUAACUUAAUAGUUAUACUUAAUUCCAAAAAAAAAUUUAAAAAUAUACUAAACCAGGCCCGACCCGACCCAAUUCAACCCGUAACCCGUAUGGUUCAAUUUAACCCGAUCAAACCCGGCCCGCUACAAAAUCGGUACUGCUCUACUCGGACCGGCCGAAAAAAUCAUGGCCCGGACCGGACCGGUUGAACCGUCUGUCACCCUUGCAUUAAAUUCAUCGUUAUAUAAAAUGACACUUUUCGUCAUUAACAAUUAAAAUAAAUAAUAUAUUUAAAGAAACAAUACAAUAUAACAUAAUAGAUAAAAACCAUCCAAAUAAGCUGUUACGAUCCCAUACAAAGUAGUGCAUCUAAAAUAAAGAAAGACGAAAUUGAGAAAAGUAAAGAAAAGAAAAAAUCAAAAGCUUAUUCCCGAGAAAUCUCUUUACAACUUAGUUUACAUUUCAAAGUGUGGGCCGUCUUGGACAACUUACAACAACAAAUUCAGUAUAAUCUCACGAAUAAUGUCCGAAGAAGAUAAUGUAUACGCAAAUUUUAUCUCUACCUUGAGAAGCAGACGAAGCACACGCUCGAUCUUUAGAUAAAUUUUAAGGGAGAAGACCAACGUAGGGUAUUGGAAGAAUAUUGGACUCAAGUAUUGACGAAGAAGACGAUGAAGAAUUGUCUUUAGAAAUGACAGUACCAACUGCUUCCACAAAUACAGUCACAAACUCUAUUGCAAUUUUCACCAUCUCUAUACAUAUCUCUAACCUUUGAAUCGCCAUAAUAAUAAUAAUAAUAAUAAUAAUAAUAAUAAUAAUAAUAAUAACAGUAAAGUAAUUAGUAAUGAUAAAUCUCUCAGCUUCUAUUUUCAAGUCUCCGCGUAUUUAUAAUUUUAUAUUUAUGAAUGUGUAAUAAAGAAA
rnacentral:lncRNA from 1 species